UCAGUUCACUGAUAUCGAACCACACAUUGGGGUUACAUAGAUUUAAAGAAGAAGCUCCCCAAGACUGAAGGCCUGAUGUGGACCAGCAGGACCCAGAGCCUCUUAUCAUAGAGUGGAAGAAAAGACCCUUGGACCAGUCUGGUGGGAGACCAACUCAAUAUGGAGGAGACUGAUAUCAGGUUUUUGGUCACUACAGUUUCUUUAAAGAGUGAGGAGGAUA